UACGUAGGGUGCAAGCGUUUAAUCGGAAUUACUGGCGUAAAGCGUGCGCAGGCGGUUCGCUAAGACAGAUGUGAAAUCCCCCGGGCUUUAACCUGGGAACUGCAUUUGUGACUGGCGGGCUAGAGUAUGGCAGAGGGGGGGUAGAAUUCCACGUGAUAGCAGUGAAAUGCGUAGAGAUGUGGAGGAAUACCGAUGGCGAAGGCAGCCCCCUGGGCCAAUACUGACGCUCAUGCACGAAAGGCGUG
rnacentral:rRNA from 1 species